rnacentral:rRNA from 1 species
UACGUAGGGGGCAAGCGUUGUCCGGAAUCAUUGGGCGUAAAGAGCGUGUAGGCGGCCCGGUAAGUCCGCUGUGAAAGUCCAGGGCUCAACCCUGGGAUGCCGGUGGAUACUGUCGGGCUCGAGUCCGGAAGAGGAGUGUGGAAUUCCUGGUGUAGCGGUGAAAUGCGCAGAUAUCAGGAGGAACACCAAUGGCGAAGGCGGGUCUCUGGGCAGUGAACUGACGCUGAGGAGCGAAAGCGUGGGGAGCGAACAGG